GGCUACGGGAAGGUGGAGCUCCUGGCUCGUGAGCGUCUUCAUUUCCUGUGCUUCCUGCCUCUCCUCACUGACCCUCACCUUUUCCUUCUCUCGUGUUGUCCCCCUACCAAUCUCUCCUCUUCCGAACCAUUGCAGUUAAAAAAAAAAAAAAAAAAAAAAGAUGAACAAACUGAAAAUCAACAACUAUUUUUGGAUCCCUCAGAGAACGGAUUUCCCAGGGCCCACCAUCACCCUGAGACUUGGAGAGACAGGCAACGUCCUUACCAGGAGCACAAGCUCACAGCUGGAGCCAGCACCAGAGGGAUUACUUCAACUAAAGUGCCAAACUGUUUCCAACAUGAUUCCACCAUUUUACAUUGCUACCAGCAGUGUAAGAAAGUUCCAGUUCUUCUCUAUCCUUGGCAACACCAGCCAUCUGCAAACCAGGAAGUCAGCCUUCACCAGACGCAGGAUCUGCCAGCACCUUCAUUUUGGACUUCCCAGCCUGCAGAACUGUAAGAAAUAUUUGUUGUUUAAGCCACCCAGUCUUACAGCAGCUUGAACUAAGACAGACCAUCAUAAAUAAAAAGCCUUCAUAAAUCAAUAAGAAGUUUCAACCUAAUAGAAAAAUGAACAAAGAUUCUUGUGAAAAAACACACUCCUACGUGUCUUCUCUAGUCCCAGCAUUCUACUUCACUUCUGCUAUUUCUGGUCACCAAAUGUGUGGUAAUUCUCCCACACCAAGCAAUCCUGCAACCCCAGCAGGCUGUUAUAUAAUUUAACUCAAUCCUGACACUCUGUCUGAAGAUAGUAUCAGAUCCCACAAAGUCAAAGUCAAUCCGAGAAGACCGCCCUUCCCUUCAACUUCAGAUGCUAAUCACAAGUCCAGGUUGUUACCUGAACUCGUGACCAACUGGCUAUAAAUCAGAAGUUCCCAUGACCCCCUUCUCAGGCUCAGCUCAUUUGCUAGAGCCACUCACAGAACUCAGGAAAACAGUACUUUCUAGAUUACUGGCUUGUUACAAAGGAUAUUAAAGGAUACGAAUGAAUAACCAGAUGAAGAAGUACAUCUUUCAAGUUCCAGAGCUUCUGUUCCUUUGAAUUUGAGAUGCACCACCUUCAGGCACUUUAAAGUGUUCCUGGAAGCCAACCCAGAAGUUCUCUGAGCUCCUCAUUCGGGGGUUUUGUGAAGGAUUCAUUUAUGUACACACGAUUGAUUAGAUCUUUGCCAUUAGUGACUCAGUCACUCUUUAACACUUCUUCCAUCCCCAGAGAUCAGGGGAUGGGACUGAAGGUUCCAUCCCUCUAACCAUAAAGUUGGUUCCCCUGGCAACCGGCCCCUAUCCCUGGGUGCUUUCCAAAAGUCACCUCGUUAACACAAACUCAGGUGUGGCUGGAAGGGGCUUGUUAUGAAUAGCAAAAGUCACUCAGGAAAUUCCAAGGGUUUUAGGAGCUGUGUGCCAGAAAUGGCAACCAAACAGAUGCAAAUUAAAACAAUAAGAUUUUUUCAUGCAUCUGAUUAUCUUAAAUUUAAAAGAUUGAUAGUAUCAUUGAAGGGUAGAAGGAUGGGGAAACAAAAUCUUUAUUCAGCUGGUGGUAUGAGAAUAAACUGGUAGGGUCUUAUGGAAUGUCUUCAAAAUUCCAAUUCUAGAAAUGUGUGCCAAAUACAUGCUUGUAAUAAACAUCAGUAUACUACAGUGAUGUUUAUUUCAGCAUUGGCUGUAAUAGUAACAAAUUGGAAACAGCUUAAAUGUCUAUUAUGUUAUGAUACAGCCUUACAAAGGAACAUGAGGCAGUCAUUAGAAGAAUGAGGUGGCUGUGUAUGUACUAACAUAGAAAGAUCCUUAACACAUAUUAUCAAGUGUACAGAGCAAAUUGCAGUAAUUAUUACCAUAUUUUUGUAAAUCAAAGGAUUAAUGGUUUUAUCAUAUCCAUGUAUAUAUGUGCAUGAGAUAACCUCGUGUAAGAGCUGACAUUUCAUGCCAUUCAAAAUGUUUAGUACUAGGGGUGCCUGAGUGGUUCAGUCAGGUUAAGUGUCCCACUUCAGCUCAGGUCAUGAUCUCACAA